rnacentral:lncRNA from 1 species
UUCCUUGCAAUCAAAACCUCACAAAGUCAAUUUAAGAAUACCAAAGGAGUGCCUAUCUUAUUAAGAGAAUUUUGGUGUUCGUAGGAAGAAUGAAGACAAACUAGAACUCAGCCCUGAGAAGUUAUAUAUUCCAAAUUGCAUCUCAGAAGUGGUACAGAAGGGUCAUCCUGCUGCUAUGAGCGAGUAUUAGUCAAAGAAGCCCAUGUCUCCAACUAUCAACACGGCUUGCUCCGGUCCCUGGAUAGUAUCACUAUCUCCAGCCACUUCAGUCGAGUGUGAAUACCGCUUUAAUGGCAGGUUCUAUUUUGCCACUAAGUGUACAAUGUCUUGCAUGAGACUCCGGCCAGAAAAACCAUCCUUCCAAAAGUACAGUGAGACUCCUGGAUUUCUUUUUUAUGAAUUCAUUCUCCCUAUUUUGAGAAUAUAAAUUUUAUAUAUAAAUAUCUUUAUUAUAUUCUUUCUAACCUUAACCACCCUUUCCCCAAAUUAUUUGAAGUUAAUAUCAGAUGGACAAAAUUUUCUUUUCUAGAGAUUAAAACAAACAAAUAUAUUUUAGAUUUUGUGUUCUAAAGGGUUUUAAUUCAGAAAAAUGACAAUAAAAGUUAGCCCAAUCAGUAUGAUAGGAUCCCAUUUAAAGGGCAUGAUCAAUGACAGCUGAAGUCAUUACAGAAAGCUUAAGAGAGGCAGUGAGAUGGAAAUAUCUUUUAUAAUUAUAUGAAAGCUGCUGGUGUCAGGAUGUGGCAGAUUUAUAAUAGGGUGCAUUUAAUACUUAAAAUUGCAUUUGGCCACAUGCACAGUUGAUGGCCAGGGCAGGAUAGAUUGCUGCCAAUAAGCUCUGAUUUUAAUUAAGGGGAGAGAUGGAAAGAAGUUGAUUUUCCAAACUCUGGCCUUUCCCUUCAAUCUUAGCAAUUUAUCUUUGUACUAAGGGCCUGAUAUGUCAUAUGUGUGAGAGUGGGUAUAUAAAUGAUAUUGAAUCUAUUUGAUAUUGGACAAUGGUUGAUUAAAAAUAUUCAUUGAGUUCUCACUCUGUCCUGGGUGUUCUUCUACAUGCCAGGGAUGCCAUAACACACACUUUCACUUACAGUACCUACCUGCUCUCUCCUCUCCUAAGUAGAAUAGAAACUAUGCUUUCUGCUUUUUAUGCCUUAUAAACCUACUUUGUCUUAUACAAUGGAUAGGUUAGUGUUGCUUAAAAUAAUUUUGUCAUAUCUUUGUUCAAUCUGUACUAUUAAGUUUUUAAAAAUCUGUUUAUUUUUAAAGAAAUUAUAGUGCCCUAGUUAUAGUGUAUAUAUUCUAGUUAUACUUUUCUUGCAUCAAUAAUGUAUAUUUUAC